GCCUACGAUCAUACUACGUUGAAAACACCGCAUCCCGUCAGAUCUGCGAAGUUAAGGAACGUUAGGCUGAGCUAGUACUACGGUUGGAGACAACGUGGGAACACUCAGUGUCGUUGGCC
rfam:Trichuris trichiura, WGS project CBXK01000000 data, contig: TTRE_3406